rnacentral:rRNA from 1 species
GACAGAGGUCCCGAGCGUUAGGCGGAAUCACUGGGCUUAAAGCGUGUGUAGGCGGAGUUCUAAGUACCUUGUGAAAUCCCACGGCUCAACCGUGGAACUGCUUGGUAUACUGGUUCUCUUGAGCCACCUAGGGGCAACCGGAACAAACGGUGGAGCGGUGAAAUGCGUAGAUAUCGUUUGGAACGCCAAUGGUGAAAACAGGUUGCUGGGGUGUGCUGACGCUGAGACACGAAAGCCAGGGGAGCAAACGGGG